AUUGAGGUAUAGCAUAAAUAAUGUGCUUCGCUUACAUUGAAGAGAUAGCUAAUAGAUUGGCUUGCCUU
rnacentral:tRNA from 1 species